rnacentral:ncRNA from 19 species
UUUAACGGGUAGAGUUCUACCGUUGCCCGUUAAGUAAGACCGGUUGGAGCGCCGUCUCCAGCAACAUCACUGGUUCAGAGGAUGUUCGCCCCGGCGAGCAGAUUCUGAGGCGAGUUCCAGUUAAGGGACCGUCGCAACGCGUGGCAAGUGAUGGGCCCCUUUGGCUAGGGGCUUCAGGUACAUGCUAGUCCGCUCGAUCGGCUCGAGCUGGAGAUCAACGAACGGGGAAUUAGG